CCUACGGGAGGCAGCAGUGGGGAAUAUUGCACAAUGGGGGAAACCCUGAUGCAGCGACGCCGCGUGAGUGAAGAAGUAUUUCGGUAUGUAAAGCUCUAUCAGCAGGGAAGAAGAAAGACGGUACCUGACUAAGAAGCCCCGGCUAACUACGUGCCAGCAGCCGCGGUAAUACGGAGGGGGCAAGCGUUAUCCGGCUUUACUGGGUGUAACGGGAGAGUAGACGGCUGUGCAAGUCUGAAGUGAAAGCCCAGGGCUCAACCCUGGGACUGCUUUGGAUACUGUGGAGCUAGAGUGCUGGAGAGGUAAGUGGAAUGCCUAGUGUAGCGGUGAAAUGCGUAGAUAUUAGGAGGAACACCAGUGGCGAAGGCGGCUUACUGGACAGUAACUGACGUUGAGGCUCGAAAGCGUGGGGAGCAAACAGGAUUAGAUACCCCAGUAGUC
rnacentral:rRNA from 1 species